rfam:Parcubacteria bacterium GW2011_GWF2_50_9 TY62_C0003, whole genome shotgun sequence.
CGGGGAAUCGUAUAGCGGUAGUAUGCAUGCUUUGGGAGCAUGCGGUCUGGGUUCGACUCCCAGUUCCCCGA